UAGGGAAUCUUCGGCAAUGGACGAAAGUCUGACCGAGCAACGCCGCGUGAGUGAAGAAGGUUUUCGGAUCGUAAAACUCUGUUGUUAGAGAAGAACAAGGACGUUAGUAACUGAACGUCCCCUGACGGUAUCUAACCAGAAAGCCACGGCUAACUACGUGCCAGCAGCCGCGGUAAUACGUAGGUGGCAAGCGUUGUCCGGAUUUAUUUGGCGUAAAGCGAGCGCAGGCGGUUUCUUAAGUCUGAUGUGAAAGCCCCCGGCUCAACCGGGGAGGGUCAUUGGAAACUGGGAGACUUGAGUGCAGAAGAGGAGAGUGGAAUUCCAUGUGUAGCGGUGAAAUGCGUAGAUAUAUGGAGGAACACCAGUGGAGAAGGCGGCUCUCUGGUCUGUAACUGACGCUGAGGCUCGAAAGCGUGGGGAGCAAACAGG
rnacentral:rRNA from 1 species